rnacentral:lncRNA from 1 species
CAGGAUUGGCAAGUUUAUAAUUUAAAAUAAUUUUGCUACUAUGUAGUAAAAUUAUUCAUAUCGCACACGCGCUUGAGUACAUCUUUUUCUUUCUCUACGACCGGUUAAAGUCCUUCGUUUUUGCGCCGUUAUUUAUUUAUUUAUUUAUUUGAUAUUAGGAAGGAGCACCGUCUUUAGCCGUAGCGCAGGCGGAUUGCCAGAACUGACCGUAUAAAUUCUUCUCCCCUGAUGAUUUUUUUUUUCAAACGGGAUAAAUAUUCAAAUAAAAACUAUCGCUUCGCGGCGAGUCGACGACGAUUUUACAAAAAUAAAACUGGUAAACACGGCUGCAGCAGCGCCAAGGCAGAGCGAAUGGUCGAAACCCUUUUUUUACACGGCGCAUGCGCCAUAUCAAAUUUUGUAUCGCUUUUAUAUAAAUAUUCAAACAUUAAUCGGAAAACGUAAUUAGCGAUGGCACAUCUGUGAAUGAAGAAAUUUAAUCUGAAACAAAA